GGUUAAGUGACUAAGCGUACACGGUGGAUGCCUAGGCAAUCAGAGGCGAAGAAGGACGUGCUAAUCUGCGAAAAGCUUGGAUGAGUUGAUAAGAAGCGUUUAAUCCAAGAUAUCCGAAUGGGGAAACCCAGUAGAUGAAGAAUCUACUAUCAAUAGAUGAAUACAUAGUCUGUUGAGGCAAACCGGGAGAACUGAAACAUCUAAGUACCCCGAGGAAAAGAAAUCAACCGAGAUUUUGUCAGUAGCGGCGAGCGAAARCGAAAGAGCCAGCAAGUGAUAGCAGCAAAGACAGAAGAAUUGGCUGGGAAGCCAAGCGACACAGGGUGAUAGCCCCGUAUUYKAAGUUUWUGUUGUGGUACUAARCUUGCAACAAGUAGGGCGGGACACGAGAAAUCCUGUUUGAAGAUGGGGGGACCAUCCUCCAAGGCUAAAUACUCCUGAUUGACCGAUAGUGAACCAGUACUGUGAAGGAAAGGCGAAAAGAACCCCAGUGAGGGGAGUGAAAUAGAACCUGAAACCGUGUACGUACAAGCAGUGGGAGCCCUUUUGGGUGACUGCGUACCUUUUGUAUAAUGGGUCAGCGACUUAUAUUUUGUAGCGAGGUUAACUGAAUAAGGGAGCCGAAGGGAAACCGAGUCUUAACUGGGCGGWKAGUUGCAAGGUAUAGACCCGAAACCYGGUGAUCUAGCCAUGGGCAGGUUGAAGGUUGGGUAACACUAACUGGAGGACCGAACCGACUAAUGUUGAAAAAUUAGCGGAUGACUUGUGGCUGGGGGUGAAAGGCCAAUCAAACCGGGAGAUAGCUGGUUCUCCCCGAAAUCUAUUUAGGUAGAGCCUUAUGUGAAUACCUUCGGGGGUAGAGCACUGUUUCGGCUAGGGGUCCAUCCCGGAUUACCAACCCGAUGCAAACUGCGAAUACCGAAGAGUAAUGCAUAGGAGACACACRGUGGGUGCUAACGUCCAUCGUGGAGAGGGAAACAACCCAGACCGCCAGCUAAGGUCCCAAAGUCUAUAUUAAGUGGGAAACGAAGUGGGAAGGCUUAGACAGCUAGGAUGUUGGCUUAGAAGCAGCCAUCAUUUAAAGAAAGCGUAAUAGCUCACUAGUCGAGUCGGCCUGCGCGGAAGAUGUAACGGGGCUAAAAUAUAGCACCGAAGCUGCGGCAUCAGGCGUAUCAC
rnacentral:rRNA from 1 species